AGAGGAGAAGAAAGAAGAGUCAGAGGACGAGUCAGAGGAUGACAUGGGCUUCGGACUCUUCGACUAAUUUUUU